GUUUACAUUUGCUAUUUCCAUUUAUCCAUCCGUCCAUCUAUCAUCUAUUUUAUCUUUCAAAGAGUCGCCUUGGCAUCGCCAUACAAAGACGACAUUACCGAACUUUUACUUAUGUAUGCAGUUAUUAUACGUUCAGCCGUCCUAUCGUUCGUGAAAUCUAGUGCGCAUCCUUAUUUUCCCCAUCGACAAGGAGAAUUUAUAAAAAUCGUGAUUUUUAUAAAUGCACAUUAUAUAUCCCGUAUAUAUUAUAUUGUACGAAUAUUGUACGAGUACGCAUAUGAGAUACAUGCAGUAUUCGUAGAGUCGCGUACGCGAUGCGUCUGAGUUGGACGAACGAGAAAGCUCUUUACGUAUGCGAUGCACACGCUUCAUAUGCGUUCUAUUUGCAUAGAAUGCGCAUGCAUUUAGAAACGCGCGCACGUGGGAUAUCACGGAGAAUGGAUCCGUAAAUUCUAGUCUUGGUGUCAAAUGGAUGAGGGUACUUUCCUAGGGCACACGCGUUGUUAUUAUCGUUAUAUGUAUAUUUAUAAGGAAAACUUUACUAUUCGAUUAUUUCCCUCGACGUAAGCGUCGGAUCUUUCAUCGUCGUAUUCUGGUCGGACGAUAUCGAGGUGCGGCGCGGGAGGGAAAACGAAGCGGUAGCGACGUCCCCGCACGGACAUUUCCAUUACAAAGACGAACGCUCUCGCCGUUAUGGAAUACAUAUGUAUCGAGAGUUACUUCCACCUAAAGGUACGACCUAAAAUUGGAAAAUCUCCGUGUUAUAUUCGUCAUUGGACAUCGUCUCUUCGUCUAUAAUUCGCCCUCUCCGAUAAUUCUUCGAUAAUUCUUCGCGAAGAGAUGUACGAAUCCUGUCGAAUAUAAAAUCAGUCGAAUGGCUUCUUCUUCCUUCGAUUUUAAUCUCCUCGCUUAUACACGAAUAAUAUAUUUACGUAAAUGCCAACGCAACGUUUGAAAAUUAAUUUAAUUCUCACUAAUCUACUACUUCACUACGAUUUUCAUGCUCCGAGGUAACUAACUUUUAAUCGGCUAACCGAAUUAUAUAAUUUCGUUCCGUUAUUUAGAGAUUUAUUUAAGAGAUAGCGAUAGAGAUGUCUCGGAGACAUACGUUCGCGGUCACGGCUUAAAGAUUUUCUUCCUUCCGUCCUAUUGGGAUUUCUUAAUUAAAUUUUUUAAAUUGAAACUAUGCGACGAGACGAAAAAAAGAGGAAAAAAAUCUCGGUCCACUUAUCGUAAUUAUACCCAACGACCUUAAUGCGACGGCGACCGAUUAAUAGAACAGUGGAAUUUUUCAAAAAGUUUUAUCACGUUGGCUCGAAGUUGUUACUUCCUUCGGAUCAAGACUUUUGUCUUCGUUCGCGCGUUCGCGUUCUCGAAUUAUCGAUAAUUCGAGAAACGGUGUGAAGUCAGAUUCAAAUCAUCCCGACGAUUAGCUCGUUUUCUCUUAGAAUCGAGAUCUGGUCUAGUAGAGAAAGUUGUGCUUUGACGUGCGCCCGUUAAGAUGCGGAGCUUUAGGAAAAUUAUUAAGUAUCGCAGUAUCCUCUAGCAUUAAUCGAUAAAAAUUCGAUGAAAUUCCUCGGACGACGUGCUGCCUUUUAUUCUCAUUGAUCGGUUCAAAGUCCUGUGCCCCUCGAUAUGACGUUGCAACGUUCGCCGUUGGAGAUCGAAGCGAUCCUCGUUGGAAAUCCCAGCAUGACGAUUGAUACUACAAGGAUCGUUCUAAAAAACGAAGAUUUUCCGAGCGUGUACGGCCUCUUUCCGGACGUAGUAUUCGACAUAGAUUUUCUUCGAUUAUCUUAGCGCGAUAACCCAAUCGUUCGUGUACACACACACACACACACACACACACACACGCGCAUAUAUGUAUUAUACCACGUUCGCUCUAAUACGGUUCUUUCGCACAUCUUACGUUUCAUAUUCGUACCUCUCUUUAUUACGCUCUUCCGAGCUCGAGAUGGUACGAGGUAUAUGACAGACGUGACAGAGAAUCGUUACGCUUGAUCUCUCCCGAAAGUGGAUUUUCAUAAGUGGAAGUUGAAUUAAUAGAAAAGGGCCAAGGGGAGAGGAUCGGAAGGGGAGAGUGGUCGAUGCGAUGCGACGCGAACGAGAGGUCAUAAAAGUCUGACGCAAAGUGCGGUCAGGAUAAUGGUAGAGAGUGUGGGAGCAUACGUACACGCAUAAGCUUCUCGCGUUCGGAAGUUACGAUUUUCGCAACGUCCAUCGAUCCUCCCGUCCGAUCGAUUGAUCGUUCACAGGACAAAUGACUAUGCUUUCGAUAGAGCAGAUACGUUACGGACAACAAUUUCGUACUUACUGGCGUCUGUCCGAGGAAGAAUACGUGCCCAUAUACAAUUCGAUCGGACUGAAAGCCGCUCUGAACGCGAUCUAUGAGCCACGAAUUUAUAUCAUCGUCGACGAGUACCACGUUUGCUCGCAAAUGAGUAAACGUUUUUUCCUCGACAUAUUGGAAAGAUACAAUCUCGCGAGUAUUUCGGACUGGUACGAGGCCUCCUCGAUCAACAUCUUUUUCGAUCUGAACGUUUUAAAGUGCGCUUUAAUCGAAAAACAACCGACGGACGAUCCAGCUGCCCGAUUCGAUCAUCUCCUCUCAAAGACAUUGCCGGUCUACACCAACGAGACGAAGAAGGUCGACGAACAGUUGAAAGUUUUAAUGAAAGAAUCGGAUCGGACGUUCGGCUCGACAGAAUUAAGAUCGCAAAUACAAUCUUCACGGGACUACUACCGUGUCGUAGAAGAAUGAUCAACGAGGGAGAAUAAAGGAAGAAAGAUAAAGAAGCAGGCAUAUUGAGGAUCGACUUAAAUAAAAAUUAAAGGAAUAUAAAUAAUGGUUUAAAAUAAAAAACGAAAGAGAUGGAAAUUUUUCUAAUUCGAAAAAAGGAGACAACGAAAGCUAACGAUCACAGGACGAGUCACAGGAAGGAACGUCAGGGGGAGUUAUCGUCGAAGCAAACGAUCAAUUAUCUGUAGAGAAGGAGGAAAGAAAAAAGAAGAUAUAUCAAGACGAUGCUUUUAAUACGAAAGAUUUCAUUGUACCGUAUACGAUACUUGUGCUCGAAGGCGUUUGCUUUUCUAAUUCGAGGACGAACUGCCAGAGGCAUUCGCCUGGGAAACGUUCAAACGAGAGCUUCAUUGUGUUCGGCACAAUACGAUGCCUCUCGCAUCCUAUUAUCGCGUACCUUCUACCAUCCUGGAACCGACGUGUUUAUCGGCUCUUCUAUUUUCCGCUUUUCGCCUAUAUUCUUUGGAAUAAAAAGCCAGGUAAUUUGGCUUUCUCGAGAAUUCCUUGUUCGAACGAAAUAACUUUAUAAAGUCGCGGUAUAUCGGACGGCGGAAGGAUGUGAGAGGACUAUAUGGGUGAACACCAAACGGGCAGAGCAGAUCCGUCGAAAUCACGAACACGUGGCGAGACGUGAAGCGGGCGUUGAGCCUGC